AACGAACGCUGGCGGCAGGCCUAACACAUGCAAGUCGAGCGCUCUCUUCGGAGGGAGCGGCGACGGGUUAGUAACGCGUGGGAAUGUACCCUUCUCUAAGGAAUAGCCAUUGGAAACGAUGAGUAAUACCUUAUACGCCCCCCGGGUCAAACUCGGGGGGGAAAGAGUUUAUCGGAGAGGGAUCAGCCCGCGUAAGAUUAGAUAGUUGGUGGGGUAAUGGCCUACCAAGUCUACGAUCUUUAGCUGGUUUUAGAGGAUGAUCAGCAACACUGGGACUGAGACACGGCCCAGACUCCUACGGGAGGCAGCAGUGGGGAAUCUUAGACAAUGGGGCGCAAGCCUGAUCUAGCCAUGCCGCGUGUGUGAUGAAGGUCUUAGGAUCGUAAAGCACUUUCGCCAGGGAUGAUAAUGACAGUACCUGGUAAAGAAACCCCGGCUAACUCCGUG
rnacentral:rRNA from 1 species